UCCUGCCCUAUGAUUAUUUAAAUGGCUGCAGUAUCCUGACUGUGCAAAGGUAGCAUAAUAAUUAGUCUUUUAAUUGAGGACUUGUAUGAAUGGAUUAAUGAGAAAUUUAUUUUAUUUUUAAUAUUAUUAUAAUUUUAUUCUUAAGUAAAAAAGCUUAAUUUAUUUUCUGGGACGAUAAGACCCUAUAGAACUUUAUUAUUUUUCUAAUUUAUUUAUUUUAGACUUUUUUUAAUUUAAUUUGAUUUCAUUGUUUUGUUGGGGCGGUAAAUAAAUUUUAAACUUUAUUUCUAAAAAUCAUUUUUUUAUGUUAAUUUGAUCCGAUAUUUUGAUUGAAAGAUUAAGUUACCUUAGGGAUAACAGCGUAAUUUUAAUGGGGAGUUCUUAUUUAUAUUAAAGUUUGCGACCUCGAUGUUGAAUUAAGAUAAGAUUGAGGGGUAG
rnacentral:rRNA from 1 species